AGGAAUAUUGCUCAAUGGGAGAAAUCCUGAAGCAGCAACGCCGCGUGGAGGAUGAAGGGUCUAUGACUUGUAAACUCCUGUAAAGAAGGAAAAAAUUCCCAUUAGAUGGGAGAUGAUGGUACUUCUGGAGUAAGCCCCGGCUAACUACGUGCCAGCAGCCGCGGUAAUACGUAGGGGGCGAGCGUUGUCCGGAAUUACUGGGCGUAAAGGGUGCGUAGGCGGCCGUUUAAGUUGGAUGUGAAAUCCCCGGGCUUAACCUGGGUGGUGCAUUCAAAACUGGAUGGCUAGAGUGCAGGAGAGGGAAGCGGAAUUCCUAGUGUAGCGGUGAAAUGCGUAGAUAUUAGGAGGAACACCAGUGGCGAAGGCGGCUUUCUGGACUGUAACUGACGCU
rnacentral:rRNA from 1 species